rnacentral:rRNA from 2 species
UAGCGUGAGGGUGCCAAGGUAGCGAAAUUCCUUGCCUUUUAAUUGUAGGCCUGCAUGAAUGGAUUGACGAGGGUCAAGCUGUCUCUUGCCUUGAUGACGAAAUUGGACUAAAGGUGAAGAUACCUUUAUAGAAAAGUUAGACAAGAAGACCCCGUGCAGCUUUAAAAAAGUUACUUAUUAAGAGUUGUAAGAUUUUUAGGUGGGGCGCCUAGGAAGUAAAACUUAACCUUCUUAUUUGUUAAGAAAGGCUCUCAGGCAUAGACCCGGCAAGUCCGAUCAUGGGAGAAGUUACGCCGGGGAUAACA